AGUGAACGCUGGCGGUAGGCCUAACACAUGCAAGUCGAACGGCAGCGCAGUAAGAGCUGGCUUUUACGGGUGGCGAGUGGCGUAAGGGGGAGGAAUACAGCGGAAUCUACUUUUUCGAGGGGGGGAACGUAGGGAAAAUUACGGUAAGACCGCAUACGAGCUACGGGUGGAAGGGGGAGAUCUUCGGGUCUUGGGCGGAUGCAUGAGCCGAUGUCGGAUUAGCGGGUUGGUGGGGUAAAGGCGCACUAAGGCGGCGAUCCGUAGCUGGUGUGAGAGGAUGGUGCGCGACACUGGGACUGAGACACGGUCCAGAGUCCUAGGGACGGCAGAAGUGGCGAAUAGUGGAAAAUGGGCGCAAUAUUGCUCCAGCCAUGCCGCGUGGGUGAAGAAGGCCUUCGGGUUGUAUAGCCCUUUUGGUGGGAAAGACAGGUUGCAGGUUAAUACCCCGCUGUUCUGACGGUACCCAAAGAAUAAGCACCGGCUAACUUCGUG
rnacentral:rRNA from 1 species